rnacentral:rRNA from 1 species
UACGAAGGGUGCAAGCGUUACUCGGAAUUACUGGGCGUAAAGCGUGCGUAGGUGGUUGUUAAGUCUGCUGUGAAGCCCGGGCUCAACCUGGGAAUGGCAGUGGAUACUGGCAAGCUAGAGUGCGGUAGAGGGUAGUGGAAUUCCCGGUGUAGCGGUGAAAUGACGUAGAGAUCGGGAGGAACACCAGUGGCGAAGGCGGCUACCUGGACCAGCACUGACACUCAGGCACGAAAGCGUGGGGAGCAAAGCAGG